rnacentral:rRNA from 1 species
UACGUAGGUGACGAGCGUUGUCCGGAUUUACUGGGCGUAAAGAGCGCGCAGGCGGUCGUUCAAGUCGAGUGUGAAAGCCCCCGGCUCAACUGGGGAGGGUCAUUCGAUACUGAUCGACUGGAAGGCAGGAGAGGGAAGUGGAAUUCCCGGUGUAGUGGUGAAAUGCGUAGAUAUCGGGAGGAACACCAGUGGCGAAGGCGACUUCCUGGCCUGUUCUUGACGCUGAGGCGCGAAAGCUAGGGGAGCAAACGGG